GACGAACGCUGGCGGCGUGCUUAACACAUGCAAGUCGAACGGAAAGGCCCUGCUUUUGUGGGGUGCUCGAGUGGCGAACGGGUGAGUAACACGUGAGUAACCUGCCCUUGACUUUGGGAUAACUUCAGGAAACUGGGGCUAAUACCGGAUAGGAGCUCCUGCUGCAUGGUGGGGGUUGGAAAGUUUCGGCGGUUGGGGGUGGACUCGCGGCUUAUCAGCUUGGUGGUGGGGUAGUGGCUUACCAAGGCUUUGACGGGUAGCCGGCCUGGGAGGGUGACCGGCCACAUUGGGACUGAGAUAAGGCCCCGACUCCUAAGGGGGGCAGGAGUGGGGAAUAUUGCACCAUGGGAGGAAGACUGAUGUAGAAACGCUGCGUGCGGGAUGACGGCCUUCGGGUUGUAAACCGCUUUCGCCGGUGACGAAGAGUGAGUGACGGUAAUGGGUAAAGAAGCACCGGCUAACUACGUG
rnacentral:rRNA from 1 species